AACAGAGAAGAGCCUACUCAAGA
rnacentral:snRNA from 1 species